rnacentral:misc_RNA from 1 species
GAUGAAGAACGUAGCGAAAUGCGAUAAGUAAUGCGAAUUGCAGAAUUCAGUGAGUCAUCGAAUCUUUGAACGCACAUUGCGCCCUGUGGUAUUCCGCAGGGCAUGCCUGUUCGAGCGUCAUUUCAACCCUCAAGCCUCGCUUGGUGUUGGGCCCUGCCCGCCGCGGCCGGCCCUAAAGAUAGUGGCGGCGCCGCAUGGCCCUCAGCGUAGUACAGCUCUCGCUCCAGGGUCCGGCGGCAGCCUGCCAGAACCCCCCAACUCUGUGGUUGACCUCGGAUCAGGUAGGGAUACCCGCUGAACUUAAGCAUAUCAAUAAGCGGAGGA